rnacentral:tRNA from 1 species
UCCCUGAUGGUCCAGUGGCUAAGACUCCAAGUUCCCAAUGCAAGACGGCCCAGGUUCGAUCCCUGGUCAGGGAA